AGAGUUUGAUCAUGGCUCAGAGCGAACGCUGGCGGCGUACUUAACACAUGCAAGUCGAACGGGGAGUUCGCGGGUAGCAAUACUCGUGGACUUCUAGUGGCGCACGGGUGAGUAACACGUGAGUGACCUGCCCUUGGGUCCGGGAUACCCCUUCGAAAGGAGGGCUAAUACCGGGUACGGUCUCCUGGCUGCGAGGCGAGGAGAGGAAAGGCCGUGGCAACACGGUCGCCGAAGGAGGGGCUCGCGGCCUAUCAGCUAGUUGGUGAGGUAAUGGCUCACCAAGGCGAUGACGGGUAGCUGGUCUGAGAGGACGACCAGCCACACGGGGACUGAGACACGGCCCCGACUCCUACGGGAGGCAGCAGUGGGGAAUUUUCCGCAAUGGGCGCAAGCCUGACGGAGUGACGCCGCGUGGGGGACGAAGGCCUUCGGGUCGUAAACCCCUGUCAGAGGGAAAGAAGGGGCGCGGGGUGAACCCGGCGUUCUGACGGUACCCUCAGAGGAAGCCCCGGCCAACUCUGUGCCAGCAGCCGCGGUAAGACAGAGGGGGCAAGCGUUGCUCGGAAUCACUGGGCGUAAAGGGCGCGUAGGCGGGACGCCAAGUCGGUCGUGAAAUCUCCGGGCUCAACCCGGAGGAGUCGGCCGAAACUGGUGUUCUUGAGGGAGGCAGAGGAGUCUGGAAUUCCCGGUGUAGCGGUGA
rnacentral:rRNA from 1 species